GUCUGUGCGAUAUAAUAUGAUAAGUCUGGCCUGCCCACUGAGAUAUUUAAAGGGCUGCGGUAAUUUGACCGUGCGAAGGUAGCAUAAUCAAUAGUCUCUUAAUUGGAGGCUUGAAUGAACGGUCGGACAAGAAAAUAACUGUCUUAAAAAAUUAAGGCGAAAUUAACAUCUGUGUGAAAAGGCACAGAUAGCUUAGUGGGACGAUAAGACCCUAUAAAACUUAACAUAAAAUUAUCACUCUUUGAGAAUUUUUAUAUAAAAUCAAGAUAGGUAAAAAGUGUUGUGCUGGGGUGGCAAGGAUAAAAACAAAUAACUGUCUAUAGAAUCUAAUAGUGUUAACUAGAAGUUGAUCCUUCAUUGAGGAUUAUAAGAUUAAGUUACUUUAGGGAUAACAGCGUGAUUUCUUUUGAGAGUCCUUAUCGACAAAGUUAGUUGCGACCUCGAUGUUGAAUUAAAGUUUCCCUUAGGAGCAGGUAUUUAAGGGGUAGGUCUGUUCGACCUUUAAUAGCUUUACAUGAUUUGAGUUCAAACCGGUGUGAG
rnacentral:rRNA from 1 species